ACGGGAGGCAGCAGUGAGGAAUAUUGGUCAAUGGACGAGAGUCUGAACCAGCCAAGUAGCGUGCAGGAUGACGGCCCUAUGGGUUGUAAACUGCUUUUGUACGGGAAUAAAGUGACCUACGUGUAGGUUUUUGCAUGUACCGUAAGAAUAAGGACCGGCUAAUUCCGUGCCAGCAGCCGCGGUAAUACGGAAGGUCCGGGCGUUAUCCGGAUUUAUUGGGUUUAAAGGGAGCGUAGGCCGUGCUUUAAGCGUGUUGUGAAAUGUAGGCGCCCAACGUCUGCACUGCAGCGCGAACUGGAGCACUUGAGUACGCAGGAAGUAGGCGGAAUUCGUCGUGUAGCGGUGAAAUGCUUAGAUAUGACGAAGAACACCGAUUGCGUAGGCAGCAGACCAGGCCGUAAAUGACGCUCAUGCACGAAAGUGCGGGGAUCGAACAGGAUUAGAUACCCUGGUA
rnacentral:rRNA from 1 species